rnacentral:misc_RNA from 1 species
CCAAUGGUCUUAUGGGCAAGCAGGUAUAAAAUGAACAAUGUCUUUUUUAUUCUGAUAUUGAUGAUAUAGUGCAUAUGACUCUUUCUUUCAUGGAUUCAUCCUGUUUGACCAUUUCACUUCCUCACUUUCCUCAUUUCACUUCUUAGAUUGUCAAAAAGAAUGGGCAACUGAAGUUUGUGGUUGACAUCUUGCUUGGGCUUAGAUUCUCCAUGACUGGAACAUAUGAGUGAGUUUCACAAAUUUUUAUGCAAAAAUAUCUAUUCUGCAUCUAUUAUCUUUGAUUCAUAAUUCCAUACAUAGAAGUAGAGCUAUGUAAAAGUUGCGGGAUAAAGAAGAAUGUCAAAAUUAAUUAUAUCACCAAAACACAUUAAAUUCUGAUUGAUUAUCAGAUUCGAGAAUCCUAAAAUUCCAAUACGCUUUGAAUUCAUUAUAGAAGCUUGUAUCUUGUUUAUGUGGAGACGUGUGCAUCAAGUGUAUUGUUCUUUUGACAAGAUUGGAGAUCAAGGAAAGGAUUGAUUUUGUAGUAAAGGGAAACAAGGGUGGUGAUAAUGGCAGUAGGGAAACUAAGUAUGAUGUUAUUUCAGAGGUUUAAGAAAAUGAAAGUGAAGAAAUCAAGGGACUAGGAUUGAGAGAAAUAGAUUUUGUUUUGGUUGGGAAAUGUCUUGUGAAUUAGGGAAGCUUUUAAAUAAUCUUCCAUGACAUGUACAUAAGUAGCACCCUUCAAUAUUUCAGUUUUUUUUUUUCCCUCUCUCAAUUAGCCAAUACCUAUCAAAUAUUUGCAG